rnacentral:sRNA from 1 species
AAAAAUAGAAGAAGGAAAAAAAU